rnacentral:rRNA from 1 species
CAGCAGCCGCGGGAAAACGGAGGGGGCUAGCGUUGUUCGGAAUUACUGGGCGUAAAGCGCACGUAGGCGGCUUGGUAAGUUAGAGGUGAAAGCCUGGAGCUCAACUCCAGAAUUGCCUUUAAGACUGCCGAGCUAGCAGGUGAGAGAGGUAAGUGGAAUUCCGAGUGUAGAGGUGAAAUUCGUAGAUAUUCGGAAGAACACCAGUGGCGAAGGCGGCUUACUGGCUCAUACUGGACGCUGAGGUGCGAAAGCGUGGGGAGCAAACAGGAUUAGAUACCCGUGUAGUCCCUGUCUCUUAUAC